GUGCUCGCUUCGGAAGCACAUAUACUAAAAUUGGUAUGAAACAAGGAAGAUUAGCAGGGCCCCUGCGCAAGGAUGACAAACAAAUUUGUGAAGCGUUCUGCAUUUUU
ensembl:snRNA U6 U6 spliceosomal RNA